rnacentral:rRNA from 1 species
AUAGCGUAUAUUAAAGUUGUUGCAGUUAAAAAGCUCGUAGUUGAAUUUUGGGCCUGGCUGGGUGGUCUUGCCGCAAGGUAAGCACUGCUCUGGUCGGGUCUUUCCUUCUGGGGAACCAGUGUGCUCUUAAUUGAGUGCGUUGGGGAUCCAGGACUUUUACUUUGAAAAAAUUAGAGUGUUUAAAGCAGGCCUACGCUUGAAUACAUUAGCAUGGAAUAAUAGAAUAGGACUUUGGUUCUAUUUUGUUGGUUUCUAGGACCGAAGUAAUGAUUAAUAGGGAUAGUUGGGGGCAUUAGUAUUUAAUUGUCAGAGGUGAAAUUCUCGGAUUUGUUAAAGACUAACUUAUG